rnacentral:rRNA from 1 species
GAUGAACGCUGGCGGCGUGCCUAAUACAUGCAAGUCGAGCGAACGGACGAGAAGCUUGCUUCUCUGAUGUUAGCGGCGGACGGGUGAGUAACACGUGGAUAACCUACCUAUAAGACUGGGAUAACUUCGGGAAACCGGAGCUAAUACCGGAUAAUAUUUUGAACCGCAUGGUUCAAAAGUGAAAGACGGUCUUGCUGUCACUUAUAGAUGGAUCCGCGCUGCAUUAGCUAGUUGGUAAGGUAACGGCUUACCAAGGCAACGAUGCAUAGCCGACCUGAGAGGGUGAUCGGCCACACUGGAACUGAGACACGGUCCAGACUCCUACGGGAGGCAGCAGUAGGGAAUCUUCCGCAAUGGGCGAAAGCCUGACGGAGCAACGCCGCGUGAGUGAUGAAGGUCUUCGGAUCGUAAAACUCUGUUAUUAGGGAAGAACAUAUGUGUAAGUAACUGUGCACAUCUUGACGGUACCUAAUCAGAAAGCCACGGCUAACUACGUGCCAGCAGCCGCGGUAAUACGUAGGUGGCAAGCGUUAUCCGGAAUUAUUGGGCGUAAAGCGCGCGUAGGCGGUUUUUUAAGUCUGAUGUGAAAGCCCACGGCUCAACCGUGGAGGGUCAUUGGAAACUGGAAAACUUGAGUGCAGAAGAGGAAAGUGGAAUUCCAUGUGUAGCGGUGAAAUGCGCAGAGAUAUGGAGGAACACCAGUGGCGAAGGCGACUUUCUGGUCUGUAACUGACGCUGAUGUGCGAAAGCGUGGGGACCAAACAGGAUUAGAUACCCUGGUAGUCCACGCCGUAAACGAUGAGUGCUAAGUGUUAGGGGGUUUCCGCCCCUUAGUGCUGCAGCUAACGCAUUAAGCACUCCGCCUGGGGAGUACGACCGCAAGGUUGAAACUCAAAGGAAUUGACGGGGACCCGCACAAGCGGUGGAGCAUGUGGUUUAAUUCGAAGCAACGCGAAGAACCUUACCAAAUCUUGACAUCCUUUGACAACUCUAGAGAUAGAGCUUUCCCCUUCGGGGGACAAAGUGACAGGUGGUGCAUGGUUGUCGUCAGCUCGUGUCGUGAGAUGUUGGGUUAAGUCCCGCAACGAGCGCAACCCUUAAGCUUAGUUGCCAUCAUUAAGUUGGGCACUCUAAGUUGACUGCCGGUGACAAACCGGAGGAAGGUGGGGAUGACGUCAAAUCAUCAUGCCCCUUAUGGUUUGGGCUACACACGUGCUACAAUGGACAAUACAAAGGGCAGCGAAACCGCGAGGUCAAGCAAAUCCCAUAAAGUUGUUCUCAGUUCGGAUUGUAGUCUGCAACUCGACUACAUGAAGCUGGAAUCGCUAGUAAUCGUAGAUCAGCAUGCUACGGUGAAUACGUUCCCGGGUCU